rnacentral:rRNA from 1 species
AGAGUUUGAUCCUGGCUCAGAAGGAACGCUGGCAGCGUGCAUAACACAUGCAAGUCGAACGAACCUUCGGGUUAGUGGCGGACGGGUGAGUAACGCGUGGGAAUCUGCCCUCAGGAGGGGGAUAACGGUUGGAAACGACCGCUAAUACCCCAUAUGCCGAGAGGUGAAAUGAAUUUCGCCUGAGGAUGAGCCCGCGUCUGAUUAGCUAGUUGGUGAGGUAAGAGCUCACCAAGGCAUCGAUCAGUAGCUGGUCUGAGAGGAUGAUCAGCCACACUGGGACUGAGACACGGCCCAGACUCCUACGGGAGGCAGCAGUGGGGAAUUUUCCGCAAUGGGCGAAAGCCUGACGGAGCAACGCCGCGUGAGGGAUGAAGGCCUCUGGGCUGUAAACCUCUUUUAUCAAGGAAGAAGAUCUGACGGUACUUGAUGAAUAAGCCACGGCUAAUUCCGUGCCAGCAGCCGCGGUAAUACGGGAGUGGCAAGCGUUAUCCGGAAUUAUUGGGCGUAAAGCGUCCGCAGGCGGCCCUUCAAGUCUGCUGUUAAAAAGUGGAGCUUAACUCCAUCAUGGCAGUGGAAACUGUUGGGCUUGAGUGUGGUAGGGGCAGAGGGAAUUCCCGGUGUAGCGGUGAAAUGCGUAGAUAUCGGGAAGAACACCAGUGGCGAAGGCGCUCUGCUGGGCCAUCACUGACGCUCAUGGACGAAAGCCAGGGGAGCGAAAGGGAUUAGAUACCCCUGUAGUCCUGGCCGUAAACGAUGAACACUAGGUGUCGGGGGAAUCGACCCCUCCGGUGUCGUAGCCAACGCGUUAAGUGUUCCGCCUGGGGAGUACGCACGCAAGUGUGAAACUCAAAGGAAUUGACGGGGGCCCGCACAAGCGGUGGAGUAUGUGGUUUAAUUCGAUGCAACGCGAAGAACCUUACCAGGGUUUGACAUCCUGCGAAUCUCUUGGAAACGAGAGAGUGCCUUCGGGAGCGCAGUGACAGGUGGUGCAUGGCUGUCGUCAGCUCGUGUCGUGAGAUGUUGGGUUAAGUCCCGCAACGAGCGCAACCCACGUCUUUAGUUGCCAGCAUUUAGUUGGGCACUCUAGAGAGACCGCCGGUGAUAAACCGGAGGAAGGUGUGGAUGACGUCAAGUCAUCAUGCCCCUUACAUCCUGGGCUACACACGUACUACAAUGCUACGGACAAAGGGCAGCAAGUUCGCGAGGACAAGCAAAUCCCAUAAACCGUGGCUCAGUUCAGAUCGUAGGCUGCAACUCGCCUACGUGAAGGAGGAAUCGCUAGUAAUCGCAGGUCAGCAUACUGCGGUGAAUACGUUCCCGGGCCUUGUACACACCGCCCGUCACACCAUGGAAGUUGGCCACGCCCGAAGCCGUUACUCCAACCCUUGUGGAGGAGGACGUCGAAGGUGGGGCUGAUGACUGGGGUGAAGUCGUAACAAGGUAACC